UGCUCAAUAAAUUAAAAGUCGGAUCAUUUUUCUUAUAAACAUGGUGUCCCACAUACCUCAACUAAUUUCACGAAAUACUUGUCACCUCCCAACAACAACAGGUAUUACGUAUAAGACAGACAGGAAAAAGUACUCAAUACAUUAAAAGUCAGAUCUUUUUCUUGUAACCAUGGUGUCCCACUGAUCCAGCUUAUGUAUAUCUCAACUAAUUCCACAUUGUAACCGUCACCUCCCACCAACAAUAAGCAACCCGUAACUCUAUCCACUGAGGCUAAGACAGACAGAAAAAAAUGCUCAAUAAAUUAAAAGUCAGAUCUUUUUCUCAUAACCAUGGUGUCCCACAUACUUCAACUAAUUCCACGAAAUACCUAUCACCUCCCAACAACAACAAAUAAUAAGUGUCACUUCCCACCAACAACAAGUAACACGUAACUCUAUCCACCAAAGCAAAGAAAAAAAAAAAAAGGGCAGCCCGGUGCACUAAAGCUACCGCUAUGCGCAGUGUCCGGGGAAGGGCCCCACCACAAGGGUGUAUCGUACGCAGCCUUACCUUGCAUUUCUGCUAGAGGCUGUUUUCAAGGCUUGAACCCAUGACCUCCUGGUCACAUGGCGGCAACUUUACCGGUUACGUAUUACGUAACUCAUCCACCAAGGCAAAGACAGGCAGGAAAAAAUGCUCAAUAAAUUAAAAGUCGGAUCAUUUUUCUUAUAAACAUGGUGUCCCACAUACCUCAACUAAUUUCACGAAAUACUUGUCACCUCCCAACAACAACAGGUAUUACGUAUAAGACAGACAGGAAAAAGUACUCAAUACAUUAAAAGUCAGAUCUUUUUCUUGUAACCAUGGUGUCCCACAUACCUCAACUAACUCCACGAAAUACUUUUCACCUCCCAACAACACGUAUUACGUAACUCUAUCCACCAAGGCUAAGACAGUAACAUAAAAAAUGCUAAAUAAAUUAAAAGUUAGAUUUUUUUCUUAUAACCAUGGUGUCCCACAUACCUCAACUAAUUUCAAAAAAUACCUGCCACCUCC
rnacentral:lncRNA from 1 species